UUUGUCAAUUUUGACUGGCAGUGUGAAUGUUCUAUUAUCUUUGCUGUUUAUAUAAGCCACGCUGUUCGAUGUUUUCUGAGAAUGUCGUCUUACAGAAUAACUUCAUAUGGUAGUAGUGCAUCGGUGGUCAAAAUACUGCGUGUGUUUUUUAUAUGAUAUUGGGCAUGGACAAUCAUGUCAAUGCCGUUACAAAGUCAUGCUACUUCCAAAUUUAAUACAUUGGUCGAAAUCGACAUUGCUUUGUGUUUGUAUUUUUUACGUUGGCUACGAGGUAUGAGGGAAAGGGUUGAAAACUACUUAAAAAAAACAUGUUUAACACCGCCGCAUUUUUGUUCAUCUUGUAUGACUUUGAAUUUAAGUUCAUUUAUAUAUUUUGGAGUUAAGUAUGACGUCAGUUAUCACUGAACUAGUACAUAUUUAUGUUUAGGGGCCACCUAAAGCACACUUCCGGGUCCGUGAUUUUCUUGCUGUAUUGAAGACCCAUUGGUGGUCUUCGGCUGUUUUCUGCACUUUGGUCGGGUUAUUAAACUUUAGUAUGUUCGUGUGCCAAGUCACGACCAGACUCUGCUUAUGAAGUUGUUGCCAGUUAAGUCAAUAAUAACAACGAGUAAAAAAUACGACAGCAAGAAUUGUUACAAGUACCAAGAAACACCAUCAUAGAACAUCAGUUCUUGUGUCAUAACAUUGGAUCCCAGGACAGUGCUAAAUAUAAUCAUGAUAAUGUCAGCUGCUUUGAUAUAUUUUCAAAACUCUACAUAACCUUGUGCCCGUCUAUUUUAUAAACCAUUUGUACAGGCUAUCAGUUAUCAACAUUUCAUAGAUAAGAACAUUUAAUGCGACUAAUACAAUCACGAGUAUGCACAAACAAUUUAUGGAGAAAAUUGUUUUCGACAAAGCUUCUGCGAGACUCUGAAACAAUCUGCCUUGGCAAUUGAGACAUGAACAUUCCAUUGAACACUUUAAAAAAAACUUUAGAAAUCAUUAUUUUAAACGCGUUUUAAGUGAAUACAUUUAACAUGGUA
rnacentral:lncRNA from 1 species